rnacentral:rRNA from 1 species
ACGGGUGAGUAACACGUGGGCAACCUGCCCUUGAGACUGGGAUAACUUCGGGAAACCGGAGCUAAUACCGGAUAAUAUAAGGAACCUCCUGGUUCCUUAUUGAAAGAUGGUUUCGGCUAUCACUUAAGGAUGGGCCCGCGGCGCAUUAGCUAGUUGGUGAGGUAACGGCUCACCAAGGCGACGAUGCGUAGCCGACCUGAGAGGGUGAUCGGCCACACUGGGACUGAGACACGGCCCAGACUCCUACGGGAGGCAGCAGUAGGGAAUCUUCCACAAUGGACGAAAGUCUGAUGGAGCAACGCCGCGUGAGUGAUGAAGGCCUUCGGGUCGUAAAGCUCUGUUGUUAGGGAAGAACAAGUGCGAGAGUAACUGCUCGCACCUUGACGGUACCUAACCAGAAAGCCACGGCUAACUACGUGCCAGCAGCCGCGGUAAUACGUAGGUGGCAAGCGUUAUCCGGAAUUAUUGGGCGUAAAGCGCGCGCAGGUGGUUUCUUAAGUCUGAUGUGAAAGCCCACGGCUCAACCGUGGAGGGUCAUUGGAAACUGGGGAACUUGAGUGCAGAAGAGGAAAGUGGAAU